UCUCCCCUGCUGUGCUUGUGUCGGUUUUUAUAUUUUAGAACCAACAUUCUGAAGUAGGGAGCCUUCCCUGGUUGUUUACCGACAGGCCCCCCUCCAAGGAGGCCAGGGGAAGUCGAAAGGCAGCUAUAACUGGCACCCACCUAUCUUUGAUAGGUUCAAAAUGGAUGCCGACACGGCACCAAGCGGGGGAGAA
rnacentral:other from 1 species